AGUGAACGCUGGCGGUAGGCCUAACACAUGCGAGUCGAACGGCAGCACAGUAAGAGCUUGCUCUUACGGGUGGCGAGUGGCGGACGGGUGAGGAAUACAUCGGAAUCUACUUUUUCGUGGGGGAUAACGUAGGGAAACUUACGCUAAUACCGCAUACGACCUACGGGUGAAAGCAGUGGAUCUUCGGACCUUGCGCGAUUGAAUGAGCCGAUGUCGGAUUAGCUAGUUGGCGGGGUAAAGGCCCACCAAGGCGACGAUCCGUAGCUGGUCUGAGAGGAUGAUCAGCCACACUGGAACUGAGACACGGUCCAGACUCCUACGGGAGGCAGCAGUGGGGAAUAUUGGACAAUGGGCGCAAGCCUGAUCCAGCCAUACCGCGUGGGUGAAGAAGGCCUUCGGGUUGUAAAGCCCUUUUGUUGGGAAAGAAAAGCAGCAGGUUAAUCCCCCGCUGUUCUGACGGUACCCAAAGAAUAAGCACCGGCUAACUUCGUG
rnacentral:rRNA from 1 species